rnacentral:rRNA from 1 species
CACGUAGGGGGCAAGCGUUGUCCGGAUUCAUUGGGCGUAAAGAGCUCGUAGGCGGUUCGAUAAGUCGGGGGUGAAACCUCCAGGCUCAACCUGGAGACGCCACCCGAUACUGUCGUGACUAGAGUCCAGUAGGGGAGCGUGGAAUUCCUGGUGUAGCGGUGAAAUGCGCAGAUAUCAGGAGGAACACCAGCGGCGAAGGCGGCGCUCUGGGCUGGAACUGACGCUGAGGAGCGAAAGCGUGGGGAGCGAACAAG